CAAUAACAAGAACAGAAGCAAAAGCUUCUGCAGCUUUUAAAGCGCAAAUUGAAAAGUUGCAGCAAGAACGAGAUGAGUUUCAAAGAAUGGUGAUUGGGAAUCAGCAAGUUAAAACUCAACAAAUACAUGAGAUGAAGAAAAAGGAAAAAGAGUACAUAAAACUGCAGG